CACAUAUCAUAUUAUGAGCAGGUUGGGAAAGGAGUGCAGAAAGUGGCUUCCCUUGCCGAAGAGGCUGACUCUGAAAUAUGCAAUAGAUCAUAACAUAAACGACAGGACUGCUUCACUGUACAGGCAGCCAACACUUGUUGGGAUCAGCAUACAGAAGCAAAUCUGGCAGGUCCAAGAUGGAUGCACAUCUUUAUUGAGAUUAUGAUGCUGCUCUUUUCCUUGCAGUGUUACAUGUUUUAUCUACAGCAUUUUUAUAUCUUCAUUAUCUUUUCCACAAGCAGCCUGAAAGUGCCGAAACUUAGGUUUAAUGAGUUACAAGCCUAAAGCUUGCAGUUAAGUCAAGCGCCUGUAGAGAUAUCAAAUCACAGAUACUGUAUAUUCCAUAUGUUCUCUGAGUAGUCAAAAUGAAAGCUUUACAGUAAAAGCAUAGAAACAUUUAAAUUGAAUAAAACAUUUCACACUUUCAGUGGUAUAUUCUAAAUAUUGCCCCAAAAGGACCUGCUUCGGUUCGAUAGGCCUAUAACAAAUACAACCUUUUUUUUUAAAUCAAAUGUUUUCAGUUAAUAAAGAUGAAAUCUUUCAACUCUAGAUGGCGACAUUGACUCAUAAUUAGACGAAGACUCUACAGCACUGAAGAAUGUGCAGCCCCUCUUAAUAAUCGGUCAGACUUCAAGAUAUUCCUUCCCAAUUUACAUGUAUCAGAUAUGCUAUUAAACAUAAUUAGGCCCAAUUAGGAAAAGGCAGAUGGAGUCGCCAAUAUUGCCUUUGGCCUAUCCUACAAAAAACAAAAGUGAGAACCCUUGCAAGUAGGCUAACUUGUUUAAAUCAAUGUUUAGUCAUAUGGCGGUGGUUCCUUAGCGAGUUCUUGGCUCAAUUUAAUCUAUCAAUUUAAUCUAUGCACCCUCGAGGCCUUGGAAUGGUGAGACAAGCCAGUGUCGUGUUGUGAUCGAGGUAAUUGCGUGGUUGGGAAUUCCGGAGAAGUGCCUAAUUUCUUGCACCUGUGUUCGUCUCGGUCUAUGGAUAUCACCAAAACAGACUUAGAAUCUAGUAACAAAGCAAUAUAACAUUAUCAGCUGUCAUGCAGAUAUCCAUCUGGCUUGGCUGAGCUAGUGUCUUGUAUGGCCAAACGCAGUUCGACAUAUUUCAUGUAUGUUACCUAUAUUCUUGAUUUAAGGCCACUUAAGGCCUACAUAUAUGCGUUGCUUUGUCAUCGUGGGGUAACCAAGCAGGCAUAACUUUUAGUCUACUCACUGACUUCUCGUGAUGCUCCCAGAAUGCAGCUGAGGCUUGGUUACUGGCACUCACGACACUGGGGCUACUGCCAGAUCCUGUAAGAAGAGGUUAUUUCUAGAGUGCAUUUAGUGAGUGCAUUGCUUCUAAAACAGAUGACAUAAAAGAUGGCAAAACAAAGCUUAAACAGCUGCUUGUAAUUUUCGUUAAACUGCACGCGCAUUGUGACAGCGCUACCUGCUGUGAGGCAUGUUGCGUUGCGCGGGCGGCGCGCGAAGGAUGUGCGGCUGCGGGCGCUGUUAUUUCCUCUCCUCCCGCGCAGAUCAUGCAGUGCUACCGUAUCAUUUCGCUGUCAUCGAACGAGUCGUUAGCUCUGCGCGUUAAUGAAGGCUGUGAGACCGGCUGCGAAUAAAGAAUCACUGACGGAGGGGAAGAGCGCUGUUUUCCCGCGGAGGACAAUCCGCUGCCUUGCACUUGCAGGUGUUUGCGCUGACAAUGCUGGAAAAGCGGUCUGGUAGGUGCCAAUUGAGCAGAAAAUGAAAGAGCGACAAAAGACAGCCAUUAUUUGUGGGCGAAAGAUACUCGUCUAGAGCAAUCAUGCGUCGUUAAAGCUUUGUGGAACUCUCAGCUGUCACUGACUAACUUCGCAAGCUCACACAUGGCGAGGGAAAGAUGCCUGUGGCUCAGAGAUGGUGGCAGAUGUUGACGUGCCCUGCCGCAUAGCCUGCUAUAAUAUGAUACAGAGGUUCUUAAACCUCUCUGAUUAAGCAUGAAGUUGGAUUAGAUGAAUGAAUAAAGAAAUAAAUUGUAUUUGGCACCACAUUGAUUUAAUCCAUUAAUACAUUUUAAUUUAUGGUUUAUUCUGCAUCUGCACCUGUGAAAAUGAAAUUUGGUCAUGGUCUACACCAUUGUCAUGGUGCAAAGUCUUGCUUUGUGUAUUAACUCGACCAUUUCAAAGAAGCAGUGUAAUUUAUUCCUAAUUCCUAUAUUUUGUCUGUAACAAAAAUAUAUCUAGAUCUACAAACUAAUGGUAUUCUUAAGAAAAAGUGAUAAAGAAGUAAACAAAUAAACCAAUACUGUACAUGCCUUUAGUUUGUGUGUAGGCUUUACCUCCAAUUUUUGUAAAAGGUCAUAUCCUUUUGGUGGCUUGCUGGAGUUUUGUAGCACUGAUUACAUAUUGCAAAAUUGAAAGAAUACAAAGAACACAGCUAGGAAUUAUAUAAGUACUUCUCCAUUGAAGCUUUGUUUUCUAGUCUUUUCUAGUUAGAUUAGUGAAGUGGACACACACACACACACA
ensembl:lncRNA